ACGAACCGUACGAACGUUAUUCGGAAUCACUGGGCUUAAAGGGUGCGUAGGCGGCGGUGCAAGUUGGGUGUGAAAUCCCUCGGCUCAACCGAGGAACUGCGCUCAAAACUGCGUCGCUUGAGGAAGAUAGAGGUGAGUGGAACUUAGGGUGGAGCGGUGAAAUGCGUUGAUAUCCUAAGGAACACCAGUGGCGAAAGCGACUCACUGGGUCUUCUCUGACGCUGAGGCACGAAAGCUAGGGUAGCGAACGGGAUUAGAUACCCCGGUAGUCCUAGCCGUAAACGAUGAGCACUGGAUUGAAGGGCCCUCCAUAGCCCUUCAGUCGUAGCGAAAGUGUUAAGUGCUCCGCCUGGGGAGUAUGGUCGCAAGGCUG
rnacentral:rRNA from 1 species